rnacentral:rRNA from 1 species
CCUACGGGAGGCAGCAGUAGGGAAUAUUGCUCAAUGGGGGAAACCCUGAAGCAGCAACGCCGCGUGGAGGAUGAAGGUUUUCGGAUUGUAAACUCCUUUUGUUAGAGAAGAUAAUGACGGUAUCUAACGAAUAAGCACCGGCUAACUCCGUGCCAGCAGCCGCGGUAAUACGGAGGAUGCGAGCGUUAUCCGGAUUUAUUGGGUUUAAAGGGUGCGCAGGCGGUCUGUUAAGUCAGCGGUCAAAGCCCGGGGCUCAACCCCGGCCCGCCGUUGAAACUGGCAGUCUCGAGUUGGAGAGAAGUAUGCGGAAUGCGCGGUGUAGCGGUGAAAUGCAUAGAUAUCGCGCAGAACUCCGAUUGCGAAGGCAGCAUGCCGGCUCCACACUGACGCUGAGGCACGAAAGCGUGGGUAUCGAACAGGAUUAGAUACCCCUGUAGUC